GGCGAUAUAGCUCAAUUGGGAGAGUGUUUGCCUGGCAUGUACAAGGCUCUGGGUUCAAUCCCCAGCACCA
rnacentral:tRNA from 1 species